rnacentral:rRNA from 1 species
GACGAACGCUGGCGGCGUGCUUAACACAUGCAAGUCGAACGCUGAAGCUCAGCUUUUGUUGGGUGGAUGAGUGGCGAACGGGUGAGUAACACGUGAGUAACCUGCCCCCUUCUUUGGGAUAACGCCCGGAAACGGGUGCUAAUACUGGAUAUUCACUGGUCUUCGCAUGGGGGUUGGUGGAAAGGGUUUUUCUGGUGGGGGAUGGGCUCGCGGCCUAUCAGCUUGUUGGUGGGGUGAUGGCCUACCAAGGCUGUGACGGGUAGCCGGCCUGAGAGGGUGACCGGUCACAAUGGGACAGGAAUACAGCCCAGACUCAUACGGGAGACAGCAGUGGGGAGUAUUGCACAAUGGGCGCAAGCCUGAUGCAGCGACGCCGCGAGAGGGAUUGAGGCAUUCGGGUUGUGAACCUCUUUCGCUCAUGGUCAAGCCGCAACAAUGGUUGUGGUGAGGGUAGUGGGUAAAGAAGCGCCGGCUAACUACGUG